rnacentral:rRNA from 1 species
GGGUGGUAAUGCCGAAUGUUCCACAUGCUCGCAUGGGUGUGUGGGAAAACGUUUUAGUGCUAUGCGAUGGGAUCGCGUCCUAUCAGCUUGUUGGUGGGGUAGUGGCCUACCAAGGCUUCGACGGGUAGCCGGCCUGAGAGGGCGACCGGCCACAUUGGGACUGAGAUACGGCCCAGACUCCUACGGGAGGCAGCAGUGGGGAAUAUUGCACAAUGGGGGGAACCCUGAUGCAGCGACGCCGCGUGCGGGAUGACGGCCUUCGGGUUGUAAACCGCUUUUAUUGGGGAGCAAGCGUGAGUGAGUGUACCUUUUGAAUAAGCACCGGCUAACUACGUGCCAGCAGCCGCGGUAAUACGUAGGGUGCAAGCGUUGUCCGGAAUUAUUGGGCGUAAAGAGCUCGUAGGCGGUUUGUCGCGUCUGGUGUGAAAGUCCAUCGCUUAACGGUGGAUUGGCGCUGGGUACGGGCAGGCUAGAGUGUAGUAGGGGAGACUGGAAUUCUCGGUGUAACGGUGGAAUGUG